CGGGGUGGAGCCCGCUGCGGCCCCAGCAGACCGGCGUGCUGGUUGCGCACAGAGCUCUCGCUCGGACUCGGCAGCGGCGUUUCGCUUCUCACCUCUCUCGCCCGGGCUUUGCAGCCAGCCAGAAACUGCUGCCACAGCAGAGCCUCGGCGAGCGGCCGGGAGACGCCCCCGCGGAGAGAGCCCAGAGUCCCCGCAGAGGCGGGGUGCGGGGAGCCCCGGAGUCCAGCCAGGAUGCGAGAGGAGUAGAGGGGGGCCGGGCCAGAGCAGCCCAGAAGGACUGUGCAGGUGCAGCCGGUGGCUGCGGUGCUUGUUCCCGGAGGAGGAGGGGGCAGCAGCAAGCUGAUUUCCCCCCACACGCAUACACGCACACACCCCGUGUGGCCAGAGGAUGGGAGCCAAGUUGGAGCUGCGGCUUCUCCUUGCCAGGAGCCGGCUGCUGGGCUGAAGCCGCGGUCUGCGGGGCUCAUGCUCGUGUGCAUGGACUGUGGAUUUACGUAGUGAUUCCCUCUGAUGUGAAUGCAGCAUCUCUUGUCCCUCUGGGAUGCCGUAGGUGAUGCCCAGCUCUACUGCAAUGGCAAUUGGCGCUCUCUCUAGUUCUCUUCUUGUAACCUGCUGUCUCAUGGUUGCUCUCUGUAGCUCCACCAUACCUGUGCAAAAACUGGCCAAGGCUCCAGACAAACAGGAGAUAAAAACAAGUCAGGAAAAGAGGGAUCAUACAUCAACCAGGCCGGACAGUCAGAGUCAGACAGGCCCAGGGAAAAUGAAUGAACUUGGAAGGAAUGGGCGGGAAGAGGGCACCAGAGAUUGGAAGAGCAAAGGAAACAGAAAUUAUUCAAACAAAGAAUCUUGGACUAGGCAAAAACAGGUUUGGAAUAGUCAGGGAACAAGCAGUAAAUCUGGGAACGUUCAAGCACAGGAGCAAAGGGAUGGUGUUCCAGAGGAACCUCAGGUGGCUGAAGAAUCAUCCCUCCCAGAAGUUGUUGCUAGUACUACUCCUGAGCCUCCGGAGGAGUAUGCCUAUCCAGAUUACCGUGGGAAAGGCUGUGUGGAUGAGAGUGGCUUCGUUUAUGCUAUUGGGGAGAAGUUUACUCCAGGUCCCUCUGCUUGCCCCUGCCUUUGCACUGAUGAGGGACCUCUGUGCAUUCAACCUGAGUGCCCAAGACUCCAUCCACGGUGUAUUCAUGUAGACACCAGUCAGUGCUGCCCACAGUGCAAAGAGAGGAAGAACUACUGUGAGUUCAGAGGAAAGACCUACCAGACACUAGAAGAAUUCAUGGUUUCCCCAUGUGAGAGAUGCCGUUGCGAAGCCAGUGGUGAAGUGCUGUGCACAGUGUCUGCUUGUCCUCAGACUGAAUGUGUGGAUCCAGUGUAUGAGCCAGAUCAAUGCUGCCCCAUCUGCAAAAAUGGCCCAAACUGCUUUGCCGAAACCACUGUCAUUCCAGCUGGCCGAGAGGUGAAGACUGAUGAAUGCACUAUAUGUCACUGUACUUACGAAGAAGGCACUUGGAGAAUUGAACGACAAGCUAUGUGCACUAGACAUGAAUGCAAACAAAUCUAGGGAAUCUACAAAUCAAAGUACUAUGAUGUUUUUAUAAAAUACUUCACUGCGGUGAAAACCCUAGAUAAGCCUGGGAAAGAUUAUUAAUUGUAAUAGGAAUAUUUUUGGUGAGGAGAAAAGAUCAUCAUACUGGUAUUUUGUUUUUCAUAGUAAUGUAAUACUGCAAGACAAAGAAAUACAUAUAUUUAAAAAAAGUUUGGACAUAAAAAAAUCCUGUCUUAAUGUUUUAUUUUCACGACUUCUAUCAGGAUUUUAAUGGAAGUUUUGCCAUUGACUUCAAGGGGCCAGGAUUUCACACCAAGUAUGGAUUUUGCCCACAUAGCUACCAAUCGCCAGACAACUGUUUGUUUCUCAACCAGAUCAUGGACAAGAAAAUGAGGAAACUACAAAGCAGCAAAAACAUAAAAUGCACAGCAAGCUUAAGUAACCAUAACAAAAAAAUCUGAAGAAAAAUAGUCCUACAACAAAAUGUACCUUCAAGUUCACACAUUGUCCGCCUGGAUGGACUGAGGCUAUCAAGGAAAGUAGGUUUUGGACUGAUUAUGAUUUUUUCAAACGUCUUCUGAAUCCAUCAACUAUCAAAAUGAUUUUCCUCAAGCCUAUGUACAUGUAUAUAAAGUACAUCAAAAUAUUAUACUAAAAAGCUAUUAUCAAUAAGCAGCAUAAAGAAUGUCCAACACAUGUUUCACUCUUAGCAUAAAAAUAUUACUCUGCUAGCGGUAGUAAAUGGAAAUCACUAAUGGGCAGAUUGUGAAGAGCAUCAUCACGUGUGCACCCAAUAUGCUAAGCACCCUUGCAAAUCUGGACAUAAAGUGCUUGAUCCUGCUACCAAUACCAACAAUAGUACCUCAUUCCCUGAGUAGAAAUUACUAGCGACAGUAAGGUCCUACUCAAUCUAACUAAAGGUGAGCCAAACCCUAAAUCAGAGCCAAAUCUAUUCACCUUGCAAAAGUGGUUAUGUUACUCAGAUGAAUAAAGCAAACAGAUUUUGGUCCCAAGUUACUAAAAGCUACAUUCACAAAGGUACUUAGGAUUCCAACAUUUAGGUGCCACUGGCAUUCUGAAAACCACCACUCAGCUUCUGUCUAGCCCUGCAGGUGCCUGAGUUUCUACCAGUCAGCACGUGCAAAGCCCUGAUGUUGCCCCACUGCUAAUGAGUGAGGCUUCUGAGCAACCCAAGCCAAAGCCCUCCUGGGAUUCUCAACCCAGGCAUUCUCCAGCUUCAACAGAACUGCUUGAAAAACCCAACCCAGAAUACCCACCAACACAGAGAUUAGGGCACUCAUCUGGAAUGUAGGAGAGUUAGGUUCAAAUCCCUGUUCCAAUUCAGGGGCAUAGUUAAUACUAAGCAUUUUCCACUUCAAAUUUUUAAUCCUGACACCAACAUAUCCAUUUCACCCAGAAUUUCCUGUCUGAUUUAUGUGAUUCCUCAUGAUUUCUCAGGUGUCUCUGGUUUACUGAAGUUGUUUCUCUAAUAUUGUUGAGUUGCAGAGACUGCUUUUUAAAAAUCAUGAUUGGGAGGAUGACAAGAUGGCUAUGGAGAUUCAUAAUGGGCUAUGGAGCCUUUUUCAUCUAGGUCACUGAACAAAAAGCCAGCCCAGGUCCAUAGUAACUAUUGCCAGCUGAGGGCUGUUCAGUGGUCUGUGUGAAAUUGAUGGGAAAGGCAAAUUUCUAGCACAGAUGUCAAUGCUACACAGAAAACAACCCAUAAUUGGCUCUGACUGGCAUUCUUGUUGACAGCCUCAAUAAAGAGGCAAAGGAGUGAACAAGCAGGAGUAUUGUACUCCACAAGGGUGAUUCUACUAUGUCCAUGAACAGGAACAUUGGCAAUGUAAUGUGUGGGAGCCUAUCAGUAUGUACCUGUGAUACCUGUAGAUGUGAACUUCAGGCUCCAGCACUGUGAAUUUGGCACCUUGUAGAUGCACUCAUUUUUAUUUAGCAUUUAAAAUGUGGUGAUGGGAAGAUUUAAGAUAGACUAGGGCUAAUUCAGCCACUGUGAAAGAACAAUAUCCUCUCCCCUUCAAAAAGAAAAAGAAAAGGAAUAUACAACCUGCAGUGGGAUGUUGUCCCUCCCCAGGUGCUGAGGACUAUGGCGGAAAGAAAAAAGUUACAUUUUACAGAGAGUCUUUCAAAUAGCAGUGGAAAAGAACAAUAAAACCUUACCAAACAUGGAAUACAGGAAACAAAGACUGUCCAUCUGCAGACUUUUUCUCAAACUUUUUAAGCAGCCCAGAAUGUUCCUAGUGUCCAUAUUAGAUACCAGUGUUAAAAUCUAUAUUGAUCUAGCUCUCACCACAUAACUAAAGUAAUAUUCCUGUUUGAAUCUAGGAGCACAUGCUGUUUAAUUUCUUCAUACAAAAGCAGAAAUAAAAUCCAACUACAUAGUUCCUAAUGAGCAAAGCCACACACAGCGUAUUGAGUUGCUGAGCGUAUCAUACUGAGAAGUGUUCGUCCGAGGUUUGAACAAAAAUGAAGAAACUUGAAAACAAGCUCUGUUUUGCUAACAGACAAUUUACUGGUUACUGGAAGUUAUAUUUAACUCUUUCCAGUUUAUAAUUUUAAUCAAAUAAAACAUGUUACCGAAGUGAAGAAAUGUCAGUUUGACAUAAAAUGAUCAUUUUAAAAUCUGACUGUAGUAAAAAUAUGUAAUACUGCAAAUAAUAUUAGACAAUGUAUAUUGUCAAAAACAGGGGACGACAGUUAAAAUGGUCAAAGGCAUCUACCGAUGUUCAAGCAGUAUUACUUAUUCCAGCUGGUUGGCAAUUCUCUAACUUGCAGUUUUUUGUCCAUAAGAACUAGUACCCUACCAAAUACAGUGUCCAUUGUGAUCAAUUUCAUGUUCAUAGGAUUUUAAAAAUAGUAAAUUUCUCAUGUGAACACCUGAAACAGAGUUUUGUAACCCUGGGCCUGCCUAACCAAAAAGGAGCCAUGGGUGGUCACAGGAUUCCCAUCCUUACUUCUGUGCUACCUUCAUAGCUGGGCAGCCAGAGAGCUUUGAAGCCAGUGCCAGCACCAGCACAGAAGUGAGGGUCGCAGGGUAUGGGGGGAGUCAUCACUUUGAGGGGAGGGGGUAAGGGCCAGCCUUAUGGGUUGGCAACCACCAAGGGCCAUAAGGCGCUGGAGUUGGGAAGGUGCAGGGCUGGGGGCACCCUAGCUGGGGACUCCUACCAUGUGCUGGGCUCCAGCUGCUUGUCCCGGCCAGGCUGGGGAGGGAUGGGACUUCCUCGUGUCCUGCAGAGGCCACUUUGGGGGCUGGGUGAGACCCACCCCGGCAACCUCCCAUGGCUGCAGGCUCUGCAGCUGCUGGUUGAGAGCCCAGCUCUGAAGGCAGUGCAGCUGUGGCGCUUCCAGCAGCCAGGGGAGAUUCCUGGAGGUGGGUCUGAUCUGACCCAGAAACAGCCCCUGCAGAGGAAGAACAAGACCCUCCAGCGUCCAGCUGGGACUAGCAGCUGGAGCCCAGCACAUGGUAGGAGCCCUCCUCCCCUACAAUAGCCAGAUUUCACAGUUCAUGGUGCAUUUUUCAUGGCUGUGAAUUUGGUAGGGCCCUAAUAACUAAAUUUCAAGACCUGCUAAUGGGUCAUGAAUAAGUCUGUAUUUCAUGGUAAAUGGGUGUUUUGGGGGUGGGGGGAGGUCUGAAGAUGAGCAGGCAUUCUUCUUUCCCCAGUUGUUUUUAGUGUUACUUCCAUGAACACAGGGUCUCUGCUUUUAAUUCUCCUGCUUAUUCCCCAUCUGAAAUCAGAGCCAACUUAACAGUGCAACUCUGACUUCUGUGGCUUUACAACAGGAGUGAAUUUGGCCUCAAAUACUCAUAAGCAGUUGCUGCAGAGAUCAUGCCACAUCUGUUUUCUGAUAGGACAAUAUGCAGAGAAUAUUUUAAAAAAAAACUGUCAUUCCUAUAAAAUGUUCCUAUUACUAAGAAUGGGGGAAGAGGGGAAAAAAUAGAAAAUGUGAGUUCAAAACUACUUGCAAAUAUAACUUAUUUUCCAGCUUUCUCCAUGAAGCAUUCAGUUGUUCUUUCUUUGUUCUUUUCUGUCAGAUUCAAAGUGAUGGUGAGGAGGGACGGAAACAUAGUAGAUGGAAAGGUUAAAUGUUUAAAAAAAAUAGCAUUCAGAAGUUUGCUCCCAUGUUAUACUAUAGCACAACUGCCUGGUACAUUAUGGGAGCCUUUAAACUGCACAAGUUGAAGCAUUGGUCUGUUCCUAUCUAACUAUUCCUAUUGGGAUUUGGGGGCAAGGGACAGGAAAGACAGAAACAGACAAAUAGAAAAGACACCAAAUAGAGAAGAUAAUAUUGUAAAGGCAAUUAUAGCCAUUCUUAAAGGGUUUUAUAAUGGAAAAAAAGGUGAGAGCAAAACAUCAGAAAGAGGAAGAGCCAUAAUGGUAUGAGAGUGACAAUGGAAGAAAUACACCAAUCCAAACAAUAAGGAGAAAACUACAGAAUUUCAGUACAAGAAGGUGAUGAACAGAAAGACUAUGAGUGGGAGGGUAAUUAACUUAGUAAGAAGAGGUUCACGGGGUGGGGGAACAAAAUGAGUGGGAAAAGACAGGGAGGUUGCAAUAACAUAUCUUAGGACAAAAUAAAGGAGGAGUAUAAUAACAAAGCAGUAAAGUCAUUGACACAGCACAGAAGAGUAGAAAACUGAGGCCCUGAUUAGGAAAGUGCUUAAGUAGCUGUCCAGAAUAGAGAUGGAUCCUUCAACUGUUUUCCUCUCUUCUUUGGUGGUAUAGACCCCAAUCACACUUAAGAGAUUCCUCACUCUUUGGAAAAAAUAUCUCAUCUCUAUAUUCUCACACUAUGUUUACAUUACACUGCAGGACUAUUAAUUACUUUUAGUGUCAAAAUUAUAUCUUUUGAAGGCAAUUAUAGUAUAUGGAUCAUGAGUUAUUUCCACAUUAUAUAGAGGGGAUUUUGAAAAGGAAUUCAUUUAAAAGUCAGGCUGACUUAACAGCCAACGUGUUCCCUUUAUAUACUGUGUUUAUAUGGCUUCAUGGAAAGUACACUCUGCCCAGUACAUUGCUGAAAAAACCCCAAGGAAAGAAAAGAAAAGACCAUGGUAUGGAAAAAAUAUGUUACUUUUCACUUCGCUAUCCAUACAUACAAAUUGUUCAUCAAUUCUAGGUGAAAAAGGAAUUUUAGAUUAAUAUCACAAAUGAUAAGAUGCUUGAACUUUAAAGUCAACCCUAAAAUCUAUCAUGCUCCAAUACAAAAAAGGCAUUGAGAGUGUUAAAUUGUAGAUGAUGAUGAAAGUUCUCAUAGAAACACUUCGCAGUAAGAACCAGAAUCUAAUGCAACACUGAAACCAUGGAAGCAAAUGUCCCACGAAGCAGAAAAAUCAAGGCUAAAUAUCAGAAAAAAAUGUCCAGUCUGAAAUAUCAGACUAUGCAUCAGCCUCCUACCAAAUGAGGUGGAGAUGCUACUACCUGAUUAACUUUAAACAGCACUGAAGAAAACAAAUUUCUGGUACAACAGAAUCCUGAAUUGGUAGAGAGAUAAGUAACAUGACCUAAUAUAUAUUUUUGAUUGCUAAUUAUGUAUUAGUCAUGAAAACACCCCACUUUGAUUAGCUGCAGCUAAAUUAAUUGGAAAAAAAUUUAUUUACCUCUGAAUUUAUGAGGUAACAUUUACUAAUUUCUGCUUCCUGAUGGCUCAACUGAGGCUAAUAACGUAUCUAGACCCUAUAAAUUCAUUUCUUGUUAAGUUGUAAAAGAAAAAAAAGAUAAACAUAAGAAAAGAAUGGCUAUAAAAAGGAUAUAUUCCGGAUGAAAAUAUUCAGAUUGCAUGUAUCAACACAUAAAAGUGACUUAAUAUUUUGUCAUAGUCAACAUUCAUUGUCCCUCAAGGUAAAUAGCGGGCUUACCCUUGUAUCAGUCAGAACCUGGUGUUCACCUUAACAGUAGUCAACAUCUCAUUGGAGUGAGAUCAUCCCUUCCAUCAGUUCCCCUCUAGGUCAAGUAAAAGGGACAGAAUGUCUUAAAGGGGCCCUCAGCAGUGUAGAUUGUGGGUGGCAAAUUGUCCUGGUGCAGACAUUGUAGAAGGCAGCUGCAAGCCUGUCCUCAAACGACCCACUCAGCUCCUAGUGGGAGUGCUGAGGAUGGGCCUAGGCUUGAGGAUAUAAAAGACAAAAUUAAUGAGAAAAUAAAAUAAAAGCAAAGGUGACAAGGCAAUAUCAGGUCUCGCACCACAAUGAAAAGUAGCAAACUAAGUAACAGGUAUUGUAAGAUUAAAUGGGAAAUAUAAAUACAAAUCUUAUAUGGAAUUAUCACUGAGAACUGAAAAAGACAGAAAAUGAAAUUUUCCAAUUUAUAUGCAAAGAAGUUUGCAAUUUCCAGCCAGGCAUUGAGAGAAUAAGGAAGUAUUUUGAGGGAAAUACAAAAGAGAAAACUGGAAAUAUUUUGGGAAGUAUGAAAAAUGCCAAUUGCCUAUCUAUAUACAGAAUGUACACAAACAUUUGCUGAUAGCACGUGUAAAUAUAUAUAUUCACAAAUUACCAAAUUCUGAUCUUGGUUACACCAAUGUAAAUUAAUUUCCAGAUCAACACCAAUGUAACUGAGAUCAACAUUUGUCCCACAGACUAUAUAUAUUAUAUAACAUCUGGAUUUAAUUGUGAUUAAUGAAUUAUCAAGAUAAGAGAAUGGAUAUAAGUAAUCUUGUGAGGAAUGUACGUUCAUAGAAUGUGAAAUUCCCUCUAUGUAGUAAAACAGCACAAGGCCUAUGUACCAGUGGUACUAUUUAAGCCCUCCAAAUAAGUCUUAAGUAGGAUUUAAGUGGUGUAUAGGCAUUGAGUUGGCCUGAUCCAUGGAAUGAAUUUCACUCAUUAUAAGGAGCAGAAAAAACAACCAUUUUUCACACUUUGCUACAAUGUGUGCAUACAGAAUCAAGUCAAGCCCCUUAUAGAAUAUGACACAUCAAAAUGAAAAGAACUAUUGCAGCAUAACACUUAUCAAUUCAAUUCUAUCCCAAGAAGUAUGGUUGAUAUUACAUAAAUGCCUUUAGGUGAUGGAAUUAUGUGCCAACUACAGGUUUUUUUUAAAGGUGCAUCAGAUUGAUAAAUGUACUUCUCUAUUUAUA